rnacentral:rRNA from 7 species
AGAGUUUGAUCCUGGCUCAGGAUGAACGCUGGCGGCGUGCCUAAUACAUGCAAGUCGAGCGAACGGACGAGAAGCUUGCUUCUCUGAUGUUAGCGGCGGACGGGUGAGUAACACGUGGAUAACCUACCUAUAAGACUGGGAUAACUUCGGGAAACCGGAGCUAAUACCGGAUAAUAUUUUGAACCGCAUGGUUCAAAAGUGAAAGACGGUCUUGCUGUCACUUAUAGAUGGAUCCGCGCUGCAUUAGCUAGUUGGUAAGGUAACGGCUUACCAAGGCAACGAUGCAUAGCCGACCUGAGAGGGUGAUCGGCCACACUGGAACUGAGACACGGUCCAGACUCCUACGGGAGGCAGCAGUAGGGAAUCUUCCGCAAUGGGCGAAAGCCUGACGGAGCAACGCCGCGUGAGUGAUGAAGGUCUUCGGAUCGUAAAACUCUGUUAUUAGGGAAGAACAUAUGUGUAAGUAACUGUGCACAUCUUGACGGUACCUAAUCAGAAAGCCACGGCUAACUACGUGCCAGCAGCCGCGGUAAUACGUAGGUGGCAAGCGUUAUCCGGAAUUAUUGGGCGUAAAGCGCGCGUAGGCGGUUUUUUAAGUCUGAUGUGAAAGCCCACGGCUCAACCGUGGAGGGUCAUUGGAAACUGGAAAACUUGAGUGCAGAAGAGGAAAGUGGAAUUCCAUGUGUAGCGGUGAAAUGCGCAGAGAUAUGGAGGAACACCAGUGGCGAAGGCGACUUUCUGGUCUGUAACUGACGCUGAUGUGCGAAAGCGUGGGGAUCAAACAGGAUUAGAUACCCUGGUAGUCCACGCCGUAAACGAUGAGUGCUAAGUGUUAGGGGGUUUCCGCCCCUUAGUGCUGCAGCUAACGCAUUAAGCACUCCGCCUGGGGAGUACGACCGCAAGGUUGAAACUCAAAGGAAUUGACGGGGACCCGCACAAGCGGUGGAGCAUGUGGUUUAAUUCGAAGCAACGCGAAGAACCUUACCAAAUCUUGACAUCCUUUGACAACUCUAGAGAUAGAGCCUUCCCCUUCGGGGGACAAAGUGACAGGUGGUGCAUGGUUGUCGUCAGCUCGUGUCGUGAGAUGUUGGGUUAAGUCCCGCAACGAGCGCAACCCUUAAGCUUAGUUGCCAUCAUUAAGUUGGGCACUCUAAGUUGACUGCCGGUGACAAACCGGAGGAAGGUGGGGAUGACGUCAAAUCAUCAUGCCCCUUAUGAUUUGGGCUACACACGUGCUACAAUGGACAAUACAAAGGGCAGCGAAACCGCGAGGUCAAGCAAAUCCCAUAAAGUUGUUCUCAGUUCGGAUUGUAGUCUGCAACUCGACUACAUGAAGCUGGAAUCGCUAGUAAUCGUAGAUCAGCAUGCUACGGUGAAUACGUCCCCGGGUCUUGUACACACCGCCCGUCACACCACGAGAGUUUGUAACACCCGAAGCCGGUGGAGUAACCUUUUAGGAGCUAGCCGUCGAAGGUGGGACAAAUGAUUGGGGUGAAGUCGUAACAAGGUAGCCGUAUCGGAAGGUGCGGCUGGAUCACCU